rnacentral:lncRNA from 1 species
AAGGAUCCUGAUGCUUCUGUUUUCUCCACUUGUGGCCUAUGCACAACGCUGGGCACACAGGGCCUACUGGAUGGACAGGGCCAGCCAAAGGGCCAGGAUGUCCCAGCAAGGCUUGGGAGAUGUGGGAUGGCCCUCUUCCCAUGCAGCCUCAAACCCUGGACCGGACCCACAGAUUCUGGAAUAUCUGUCAAGACUCUGGGAAGGCUCUGACCUCACAUAGGACAGUGCCUCCCUCACAAUACAGCAACGUCAGUAGAGGAUGGGUGCCAGAUGCCUGCAUCCUGAGAAGUGGGACUGAGAGCUGAGCUUCGAGCAUGAGAAUGCUGCACAAAGCCCGCCCUGGCUGGUCCUGUACUAUGGGCUGGGCUACUCACCUACCGUGCUCUGCAUCACCCAACCCGAUGGAGAGAAAGGUACCAUUAUCUGAGCGAGUUGCCAUUUUACUGGGCUGGAAACAGGCUGAGACUUGCCCAAGGACAUACAGCCUUGUGAGUGGAAAGCCGGAAUGUGCACACUCUCAACCCUGAAGCUAUGCUGUCUCUAAAGGAGGGCAGGGUGGGUUUGCCUGUGUGUGAAGGACGGGUGCAUACUCUGCGAGGACCCCCUGGGACCUUUGGUCCUGGGCCCAUCUUCCCAGCCGGGAUUGAGAGUGCUUCUGGCACAGAAGCCCAAUGGAAGAAGGUGGAUGCCAAGGGCUAGAGGAAUGAGGAGGGGAAUCAGUGUUUUGUGGGCAUAGAGUUUCAGUGUGGAAAGAUGAAAAAGCCCUAGAGAUCUGUUGCACAAUGAUGUGAAUAUACCGAACACUUCUGACCUGUACAAUUAAAAUGCUUAAUAUAGUCAAUUUUGUGUUAUGUGGGUUUUUUUAAAGUUGUUUUUUUUGUUUUUUGUUUUUUGUGUGUUUUUUUUUUUUGAGAGAGAGAGUGCACAAGUGAGGGAGGGGCAGAGAGAGGGGGUCAGAAGAUCUGAAGCAGGCUCCAUGCUGACAGCAAUGAGCCUGAUGUGGGGUUCGAACUCAUCGAACUCACGGACUGUGAGAUCAUGACCUGAACCAAAGUCAGACGCUCAACCGACUGAGCCACCUAAGCACCC